AAAGUACUCCCUCUGUCCCAAAAUUCUUGUCUUAGAUUUGUCUAGAUACAGAUGUAUCAAGUCACAGAUACAUCCGUAUCUAGACAAAUCUAAGACAAGAAUUUUGGAAUAGGGGGAGUAGUUA
rfam:Triticum aestivum genome assembly, contig: Triticum_aestivum_CS42_TGACv1_scaffold_049790_1BS